AGAGAGAGACAUGCGCGCAUAUCAAUAAGCGGAGGAAAAGAAACUAACAAGGAUUCCCUUAGUAACGGCGAGUGAAGCGGGAAGAGCUCAAAUUUGAAAUCUUCAAGGUUUUACCUUGACGAAUUGUAGUUUAAAGAAGUGUUUUCUGCUGAAGUUUUGGUAAAAGUUCUUUGGAAUAGGACAUCAUAGAGGGUGAGAAUCCCGUAUUUGACCAUUAUUUUCAGCUUUGUGAUACACUUUCGAAAGAGUCGGAUUGUUUGGGAAUGCAGUCCAAAAUGGGUGGUAAAUUUCAUCUAAAGCUAAAUAUUGGCGAGAGACCGAUAGCGAACAAGUACCGUGAGGGAAAGAUGAAAAGAACUUUGAAAAGAGAGUUAAACAGUACGUGAAAUUGUCAAAAGGGAAGCGUUUGACACCAGUGUUGUUUUCUCGAAAAUCAAUUAAAAAUGGCUCGAUUUUGUAUUGCUUGAGACCUUAAAAGCUCACUGUACAUUUUUCGUGUCUUUUUUAAUGCACUUUUCGUUUAACAAGUCAACAUCAGUUUCUUUUGUUGUAAAAGGGUCAUUGGAAGGUGGCUUUCUUUUCGGAGAAAGUGUUUAUAGCCUUUGGCCUCUGCAAUCGGAGAGACUGAGGUCUGCAGCGUAGACUCUUCGGGGUUAGGUACAUUUGUGCUAAGUUAUAGCCUUUCAUAGACAACUUGUUGACUAUGAUCAGUCAUGUAGCUUACUCGCUUAUGCUAUUUUACCUACGCUUAGGAUGUUGAGUCGUAGAGCACGCA
rnacentral:rRNA from 1 species